UACAGAGGUCUCGAGCGUUGUUCGGAUUCAUUGGGCGUAAAGGGUGCGUAGGUGGCGCUGUAAGUCGGGUGUGAAAUCCUGGGGCUUAACCCCGGAACUGCAUUCGAUACUGCAGUGCUUGAGGACUGGAGAGGAGACUGGAAUUCAUGGUGUAGCAGUGAAAUGCGCAGAUAUCAGGAGGAACACCGGUGGCGAAGGCGGGUCUCUGGGCCGUAACUGACGCUGAGGAGCGAAAGCAUGGGGAGCGAACAGG
rnacentral:rRNA from 1 species